rnacentral:rRNA from 1 species
AUAUUCGUCAAUGGGGGAAACCCUGAACGAGCAAUGCCGCGUGAGUGAUGAAGGUCCUCUGGAAUGUAAAACUCUGUUGUUAGGGAAGAACGACCAGUAUAGGAAAUGAUACUGGAGUGACUGUACCUUUCAAGAAAGCUCCGGCUAACUACGUGCCAGCAUCCGCGGUAAUACGUAGGGAGCGAGCGUUAUCCGGAUUUAUUGGGUGUAAAGGGUGCGUAGGCGGUUUAUUAAGUCUAAGGUUUAAUCCCGGAGCUUAACUCCGGUUCGCCUUAGAAACUGAUUUACUUGAGUAUGGUAGAGGCAAGCGGAAUUUCUAGUGUAGCGGUAAAAUGCGUAGAUAUUAGAAGGAACACCAGUGGCGAAGGCGGCUUGCUGGGCCAUUACUGACGCUGAGGCACGAAAGCGUGGGGAGCAAAUAGA